UAUAUCUUUUCAACAUUUGACAUAACCCUGUAUGUUUUGUAGGGACAACCCAGGACGUGCAUUUCUCAGCACCCAGUCAACUGCCAGAAGCGACUCGAACACAGGCCACCAGUGGCACUCGGCUGUACCACUGCAGUGCUGCAGAAAUUGCCAGCACCAGCGGCUUUGCAACAGCUGUUUCACAGCAUGUCGGAGACAAUGCCUACGAAAUUAUUGGCCCUGAUGACGAGAGCCCUCAAGGGGCAAACGACAUCUCUGUUGCAGAAGUGAGCCCGAUACCACCUGAAGUUACCAUGACAGGUGGCACGGCAGCAAUAGAUACAGAGACGGCCAUGUCUACUGCAGCUGCAACAGUGUACGAGGCAAGCAGCAGUGUGUCAGCAUCAGCAGCAG